UAAAUGUUUACCUCAUGGAACUAAUCUCUUUUUAUAAACAAAAAAUUAAACCCGUAUUAAUCCUCAGGGCCUUUCAGAAGCUGGUGAAAACAUGACUGCUGCAGAAAGCCUUUGAGGAUUGAUAUCUCAUGUUGGAUGACCCAGGCGUACUGACCAAAUGGUUAGCUUGGUCCUUUGGUUAAGACAGGGAUGACAACCCGUUUUGGCACCAAAUGCUGAAAGAGGAGAUGACUGUCCGGUUUCCGGCGUGCACUUCCAGUUUCUGGCACACAGGCUCAUGUUGCUUGUCUCCUUUCCAUCCGUCACUGAUGAUCAGCAUAAACAGAAGAUUUUAGGAGGCUGAAGAUGAGGUGACAAAUAUGGAAUCUGGGAUUGGGAACGUGUGUUCUAGCUAAAUUUCCCCCUCCGUGUGGAAGGAUUGUCUUCUAUCAUAUAGAUACCAGAAGUUCUGCUGAACAUCUACAUGUGAACAUGAAAAUUAUUCUCACUGAAUUUUGGUAUGUAGUUAAGAUAGCAAAUUGUGGUGGCUUUCCUACUGAAACACCAAGUACACUCCAGUUUGGGGGACAGUAUACAAGUACAAUACAAUAGCAGAGUUGGAAGGGACCUUGGAGGUCUUCUAGUCCAAACCCCUGCCUAGG